UCCGGCGGUGAAGGAUGAGCCCGCGGCCUAUCAGCUUGUUGGUGAGGUAAUGGCUCACCAAGGCGACGACGGGUAGCCGGCCUGAGAGGGCGACCGGCCACACUGGGACUGAGACACGGCCCAGACUCCUACGGGAGGCAGCAGUGGGGAAUAUUGCACAAUGGGCGAAAGCCUGAUGCAGCGACGCCGCGUGAGGGAUGACGGCCUUCGGGUUGUAAACCUCUUUCAGCAGGGAAGAAGCGAAAGUGACGGUACCUGCAGAAGAAGCGCCGGCUAACUACGUGCCAGCAGCCGCGGUAAUACGUAGGGCGCAAGCGUUGUCCGGAAUUAUUGGGCGUAAAGAGCUCGUAGGCGGCUUGUCACGUCGGUUGUGAAAGCCCGGGGCUUAACCCCGGGUCUGCAGUCGAUACGGGCAGGCUAGAGUUCGGUAGGGGAGAUCGGAAUUCCUGGUGUAGCGGUGAAAUGCGCAGAUAUCAGGAGGAACACCGGUGGCGAAGGCGGAUCUCUGGGCCGAUACUGACGCUGAGGAGCGAAAGCGUGGGGAGCGAACAGGAUUAGAUACCCUGGUAGUCCACGCCG
rnacentral:rRNA from 1 species